rnacentral:rRNA from 1 species
AGGAUGAACGCUGGCGGCGUGCCUAAUACAUGCAAGUCGAGCGAGAAGCUUGCGAGUUGAUACUUCGGUUGAAACAUGCAAGUGGAAAGCGGCGGACGGGUGAGUAACGCGUAGGCAACCUGCCCCUGGCACAGGGAUAGCCACUGGAAACGGUGAUUAAUACCUGAUAACGCCAUCUGAUAGCAUUUUCAGAUGGCCAAAGAUUUAUCGGCAAGGGAUGGGCCUGCGUCUGAUUAGUUAGUUGGUGGGGUAACGGCUCACCAAGGCGAUGAUCAGUAGCCGACCUGAGAGGGUGAUCGGCCACAUUGGAACUGAGACACGGUCCAAACUCCUACGGGAGGCAGCAGUAGGGAAUCUUGCACAAUGGGCGCAAGCCUGAUGCAGCAACGCCGCGUGAGCGAUGAAGGCCCUUAGGGUCGUAAAGCUCUGUCCUAUGGGAAGAAGAAAGUGACGGUACCAUUGGAGGAAGCCCCGGCUAACUACGUGCCAGCAGCCGCGGUAAUACGUAGGGGGCAAGCGUUAUCCGGAAUUAUUGGGCGUAAAGAGUACGUAGGUGGUUCUUUAAGCGCGGGGUUUAAGGCUAUGGCUUAACUAUAGUUCGCCCCAUGAACUGGAGGACUUGAGUGCUGGAGGGGAAAGUGGAAUUCCUAGUGUAGCGGUGAAAUGCGUAGAUAUUAGGAGGAACACCAGUGGCGAAGGCGACUUUCUGGACAGCAACUGACACUGAGGUACGAAAGCGUGGGGAGCAAACAGGAUUAGAUACCCUGGUAGUCCACGCCGUAAACGAUGAGCACUAGGUGUCGGAGAAAAAUCUUCGGUGCCGCAGUUAACGCAUUAAGUGCUCCGCCUGGGGAGUACGUUCGCAAGAAUAAAACUCAAAGGAAUUGACGGGGACCCGCACAAGCAGCGGAGCAUGUGGUUUAAUUCGAAGCAACGCGAAGAACCUUACCAGGGCUUGACAUCCUGCUGAAAGACCGGGUAAAGCCGGUCCCUCUUCGGACAGCAGUGACAGGUGGUGCAUGGUUGUCGUCAGCUCGUGUCGUGAGAUGUUGGGUUAAGUCCCGCAACGAGCGCAACCCUUGUCAUUAGUUGCCAUCAUUCAGUUGGGCACUCUAGUGAGACUGCCGAGGUCAACUCGGAGGAAGGUGGGGAUGACGUCAAAUCAUCAUGCCCCUUAUGUUCUGGGCUACACACGUGCUACAAUGGUCGGUACAACGAGACGCAAGACCGUGAGGUGGAGCAAAUCUUCAAAACCGGCCCCAGUUCGGAUUGUAGGCUGCAACCCGCCUACAUGAAGUCGGAGUUGCUAGUAAUCGCGGAUCAGCAUGCCGCGGUGAAUGCGUUCCCGGGUCUUGUACACACCGCCCGUCACACCAUGGAAGUUGGGGGCGCCCGAAGUUGGUCGUAUAAUAGAUUACCUAAGGCGAAAUCAAUGACUGGGGUG